GGGCGGGCACUCACCGCUCCGGCAGAGGGAGAGCCCUCGUCGUCGUCCUCGUCCUCCUCCGGCGACGGCGGCCCGAUCUUGCUGCAGGCAAAACCCUGAAAUAAUUUAGAUUGUAAACACCAAUCAAGUUCUUGCGUUCACAAGACUGGUCUAACAUGAUGCACAGAAGAAUGGAAGAUGUGUUGCAAGAUGAUUUGCCACCAAUGUUAAAAAGAUAUUUUAGUGGACCUGGCUAUGAACUAUGUUUGUUAUGCCAGCAGAGGCAAAAAGGGGGGGUUGGUUAAAACACCAGCUUCCACCCAGAACUGAAUCAAAGCCUUAUAUGAACAGCUGACCUGUAGAGAUGAAGAUUACAGGUUGUUAACCGAAGCUUUAGAGAAUAUCCAGAUGGAAAAACUGGAGCAACACCAUGCUGAUUGGCACCUUUAUGUUAUGAGAAGUGCACCCAUAAAGUGAAUGUAAGAGAAUGAAGACCAAGUACACCAGAAAACAGAAGGAAAGGUGUUGGAUCAAGUAUUGAUAAUGGCAAGAUGUUUCAGAUGCAUCAUUGAGCUGGAAUUUAAUAUCUCUAAGAAGACAUUCUUUGUAUAAAUGUGAAAGUGUGGAAUCAGACAGUGCACGUUGCGGUGUGAAGUUAAGGUGUUACCAGCGUUAUGCUUUAGGCUGUGUUAAUAUUAAUUUGAUGUGCACGCAAAAAUAGUACAAACCUGUAUGUCAGCUAGCUUAGUAACAAAUCAUUGCUCCACAACUUAUUUUAAAGAGGUUUGGUAUGACUCGCUCCAUUAGAUCUGAACUAAUGCGUCAUUGGUGAAAGGUGAGAAGAUGGGAAAGUUGUUGCUUUCCACUGAACAAAAACAAAAACAAAGGAAUACUUGUCACAUAUCAAGUGAGAGAUACUGGAUACACCAGUAAACAAGACAGUGGGUAUACACAGGGCAAUCCUAUGCAGAGAUCAGUGAGCUUACUCUGAAUAGGACUACAAGAUACAUACACCCUUUUAAGCCUGUUGACUUCAGUAGACUUUAGAGGGGUAUAAUUCCACUUAGGAUUAUACUGUGAGGGUCCUAACAUACUGAAAAUAGUAUUCUUAGGGCAUCUCAGUCACUUAUCAGAGCUUUUCAAAGUUUACAACAAAUUUUCAGCACAAUGCAACCAUUGGAUGCCAAUAUUUAGACAAUAUUUGUCAAGAAAUAAACAUAAGGAAAUUGUGUUUGGUAUCAGCACUCAAGAUGAGUGAACAGAUUCUCACCAAGUAGGCUAAAUUUGUCAAAUGUUGUUCAUUUAUCCAGCGUAAAUGAUUUCAUUACAUCAGAUAGGUAGUACCAUAUGUCAUGAUAAGAAUAAGAAACUCCAAAAAUAAUACAGAUCUGAACAGGACAGUGAUAACUUUUGAUUAGUUACUAUAGAAACUAAUCGUUGCUUCGGGAAAAAAUGUACACUAGAGCUCUCAGAAAUAAGGAACAGAUUCUGCAAUCUAGCAGAAGAUAUAAAUGUGAAAAUACCAGCAGAUGUAGAAGUUUUGCUCCUUUUCCAAUUGGUAAAUAAAAGUAUUUGCCCACUGUAACGUUUAACCGCCUGCAGGAUGAAGAAUUUCUUGAUAGUAAUCCUAUUGCAUUGAAACUCAGAUCUGACUGGCCUACACACCUUUUCAGGAGUUUCAUGUGUGGAUAAAAGAGGCAGUAGUUGGUGUGUUUGAUAAUGUAUAUUUAAGCAGUUAUUCCUUGGAGUUCCAUCAAUGUGGUGAAAAUCUGAAAAGCAGGAACUCAGAAAAUAAGGUCCUGUAUAUACAUCAAGCGUUACUGAAUCAAAGUGGUGGACUCAAAAAAACAAGAUCAAGAAGACAUCAGGCAAGUUUUUCAAAAAGUUUAAGCUGCAUGCUGACAAGCUGAUUGAGUAAAAAUUCUUUCUAUGAGUCUCUCUACACGAGACAUCUUAUACAAGGAUGCUGAAGUGUAAGGAGACACAAUGUUAGCCAGGAAGAGUACUUUAAAAAGACAGCCGGAAAUCGCUUCUGAGGUGGUUUGUUGAUUUCAUCUUUGCCUCCCAGGUGGGGAGAUGAAAUUAAGAGAGCCUUCAGGGAGGUGAAGAUGAAAUGAGCAAACCCUCUGAGGAGGAUCUCCCACCAGUUCUUUUUAAACAACUCUCCUGUAGAGAGAUGAAAUUGACAUACCCCUCAGCUGUUAUUGGUCUUUUCUGGAUAUCUACAUUUGAUCUUUAAAAUUUGCAAGAGGAGAUGCCUGAUACACAAAAAGUUCGACAAAGCUUUAUAAACCUGACCAAUUGGACAGGGAAAACACAUAGUCGAGAUGGAGUAUUAGUAUUCUCAAAUUUGUAUUCUCAAUCUCAAAUGCAUACAGAGUGGGCUAAAAAAAAUUAUGCUGGGUUAGAUCCUGUUAGCUUUCUGUUGAUUGAAGCGCAAGAAUCUCUAUCACUCUUUUGCCCAGAAGCCAUUUUGAUCUCCCAAAAAGGCAUGCUGGAGAUCGGGGGACCCAUUUGACCAACGAACACACAGGUGGGCUGCAGUGAGGAGGGGAAUCAGGUGAGAUUUCCCCCUCACAUCAGCAGAAAGCAGGAUGCAACCUGAUCUGUUAAAGAGAUUUUCAAAACCAAUUGCUGAGCCUGUACAGAAAUACUUGCCAUUGUUUUUCAGUGUCGCAAUUUCAGUGUGGUAAAAACACACACAAGUCACUGUAGGGAAGUGCUGUGAGCAAGGAUUGUUGAGUGAAAUACAUAUUAUCAUAAAUUUGUUUGGUGAGCUCCAUUCCCAUUAAGAAAUCCUUCCAUCAGCUCUAAGUACCUUGUUCUUCAUCCAAGGAAAUUGUUUUCCACACCUGUUUGCUCCUGAAUAAAUUUUUGUAUUA